AAUCAACGNUGGCGGCGUGCCUAACACAUGCAAGUCGAACGCGAAGUWCGGCAAGGGAUAAGUAGCGUGGCAAACGGGUGAGUAACGCGUGGGCGACCUACCUCGAGUGGGGGAUAACCUUCCGAAAGGGAGGCUAAUACCGCAUGACAUCCCGUGCUUUGAUACACGGAUAUCAAAGCCGGGGAUCGCAAGACCUGGCGCUUGAAGAGGGGCCCGCGUCGAUUAGCUAGUUGGUGAGGUAACGGCUCACCAAGGCUCCGAUCGGUAUCCGGCCUGAGAGGCGGACGGACACACUGGGACUGAGACACGGCCCAGACUCCUACGGGAGGCAGCAGUGGGAAUUGUUCGCAAUGGGCGCAAGCCUGACGACGCAACGCCGCGUGGAGGAUGAAGACCUCGGGUCGUAAACUCCUUUYGACCGAGAUGAACGUCCAUCGACCCAACACGUCGAUGGGGGACAGUAUCGAGGGAAGAAGCCCCGGCUAACUCCGUGCCAGCAGCCGCGGUAAUACGGGGGGGCAAGCGUUGUUCGGAAUUACUGGGCGUAAAGGGUUCGUAGGUGGCUCGCUAAGUCCACGUGAAAUCCCUCAGCUUAACUGGGGAACUGCGUGUGAUACUGGCAAGCUUGAGUGCGGAGAGGAACGCGGAAUUCCAGGUGUAGCGGUGAAAUU
rnacentral:rRNA from 1 species